AACGAACGCUGGCGGCAGGCCUAACACAUGCAAGUCGAGCGAGGACUUCGGUCCUAGCGGCGGACGGGUGAGUAACGCGUGGGAACGUGCCCUUUGCUUCGGAAUAGCCCUGGGAAACUGGGAUUAAUACCGGAUGAGCCCUUUGGGGGUAAGAUUUAUCGGCGCAGGAUCGGCCCGCGUUGGAUUCGGUAGUUGGUGGGGUAAUGGCCUACCAAGCCGACGAUCCAUAGCUGGUUUGAGAGGAUGAUCAGCCACACUGGGAAUGAGACACGGCCCAGACUCCGACGGGAGGCAGCAGUGGGGAAUAUUAGACAAUGGGGGAAACCCUGAUAUAGCCAUGCGGCGUGAGAGAGGAAGGCCUUAGGGUUGUAAAGCUGUUUCAGAUGGGAAGAUAAUGACGGUACCAGCAGAAGAAGCCCCGGCUAACUACGUG
rnacentral:rRNA from 1 species